AUUGAACGCUGGCGGCAGGCCUAACACAUGCAAGUCGAGCGGAUGAAGGGAGCUUGCUCCUGGAUUCAGCGGCGGACGGGUGAGUAAUGCCUAGGAAUCUGCCUGGUAGUGGGGGAUAACGUCCGGAAACGGGCGCUAAUACCGCAUACGUCCUGAGGGAGAAAGUGGGGGAUCUUCGGACCUCACGCUAUCAGAUGAGCCUAGGUCGGAUUAGCUAGUUGGUGGGGUAAAGGCCUACAAAGGCGAGGAUCCGUAACUGGUCUGAGAGGAUGAUCAGUCACACUGGAACUGAGACACGGUCCAGACUCCUACGGGAGGCAGCAGUGGGGAAUAUUGGACAAUGGGCGAAAGCCUGAUCCAGCCAUGCCGCGUGUGUGAAGAAGGUCUUCGGAUUGGAAAGCACUUUAAGUUGGGAGGAAGGGCAGUAAGUUAAUACCUUGCUGUUUUGACGUUACCAACAGAAUAAGCACCGGCUAACUUCGUG
rnacentral:rRNA from 1 species